GUGCCAGCAGCCGCGGUAAUACGUAGGUGGCAAGCGUUGUCCGGAAUUAUUGGGCGUAAAGCGCGCGCAGGCGGUCUUUUAAGUCUGAUGUGAAAGCCCACGGCUCAACCGUGGAGGGUCAUUGGAAACUGGAGGACUUGAGUGCAGAAGAGGAGAGUGGAAUUCCACGUGUAGCGGUGAAAUGCGUAGAUAUGUGGAGGAACACCAGUGGCGAAGGCGGCUCUCUGGUCUGUAACUGACGCUGAGGCGCGAAAGCGUGGGGAGCAAACAGGAUUAGAUACCCUGGUAGUCC
rnacentral:rRNA from 1 species